UACGGGGGGGGCAAGCGUUGUUCGGAAUUACUGGGCGUAAAGGGCUCGUAGGCGGCCAACUAAGUCGGAUGUGAAAUCCCCAGGCUUAACCUGGGAACUGCAUCCGAUACUGGAUGGCUUGAAUCCGGGAGAGGGAUGCAGAAUUCCAGGUGUAGCGGUGAAAUGCGUAGAUAUCUGGAGGAAUACCGAUGGCGAAGGCAAUCCCCUGGGCCUGCACUGACGCUCAUGCACGAAAGCGUGGGGAGCAAACAGG
rnacentral:rRNA from 1 species